rnacentral:rRNA from 1 species
UACGGAGGGUGCAAGCGUUAUCCGGAGUUACUGGGCGUAAAGGGCGUGUAGGCGGUAUGUUAAGUCUGGCGUGAAAGCUCUCGGCUAAACCGGGAGAGGUCGUUGGAUACUGGCAAACUAGAGGAUGGUAGAGGCGUGUGGAAUUCCGGGUGUAGUGGUGAAAUGCGUAGAGAUCCGGAGGAACACCAGUGGCGAAGGCGACACGCUGGGCCAUACCUGACGCUAAAGCGCGACAGCAUGGGGAGCAAACGGG